GAUGAACGCUAGCGGGAGGCCUAAUACAUGCAAGUCGAGCGUCCGCCUUUGGCGGAAGCGGCAGACGGGUGCGUAACGCGUAUGUAACUUACCCUAUACAGGAGGAUAGCCUCGGGAAACUGAGAGUAAUACUCCAUAGCUUCCAAUAGACACAUGUCUUGUUGGAAUAAAGCUCCGGCGGUAUAGGAUAGACGUGCGUCCGAUUAGGUAGUUGGAGAGGUAACGGCUCACCAAGCCAACGAUCGGUAGCUGGUCUGAGAGGAUGAUCAGCCACACGGGCACUGAGACACGGGCCCGACUCCUACGGGAGGCAGCAGUAAGGAAUAUUGGACAAUGGACGAAAGUCUGAUCCAGCCAUCCCGCGUGCAGGAAUAAGGCCCUAUGGGUUGUAAACUGCUUUAGCUAGGGAAUAAACCCCGCCAUUUAUGGCGGGUUGAAGGUACCUAGAAAAUAAGCACCGGCUAACUCCG
rnacentral:rRNA from 1 species